UUCGCAAUGCCCGAAAGGGUGACGAAGCGACGCCGCGUGGGUGAGGAAGGCCUUCGGGUUGUAAAGCCCUGUCAGGAGUUAAGAAAUAUAAGUGCGCUAAUAUCGCAUUUAUUUGACGAAGGCUCCAAAGGAAGCCACGGCUAACUCUGUGCCAGCAGCCGCGGUAAUACAGAGGUGGCAAGCGUUGUUCGGAAUUAUUGGGCGUAAAGAGCACGUAGGUGGGUUUGUAAGUCAGAUGUGAAAGCCUUCUGUUCAACGGAAGAAUUGCAUCUGAAACUGCAAGUCUUGAGUGUAGGAGGGGAGAAUGGAACUUCUGGUGGAGCGGUGAAAUGCGUAGAUAUCAGAAGGAACGCCGGCGGCGAAAGCGAUUCUCUGGCCUAUUACUGACACUCAGUGUGCGAAAGCUAGGGGAGCAAACGGGAUUAGAUACCCCGGUAGUCCUAGCCGUAAACGAUGGGCACUAAGUAGAGGGGUUUU
rnacentral:rRNA from 2 species